GAACCUUUGUUCAAUCCGAGUGGACGCGAACCCACCCAAUCGCAGAACUUUGACACUCGGGAAUUCCACGAUCUGUCAAUAAACCGUGAAACAUUAUCACCCGUGACCAAACGUGAAACAAAAGCCGCUUUCUCAAUCUCGGAAUUUUGGUCUGCUGUCCAUUGAGUUACCGAUCAGCAAACGACACUUCCAAACUCUCUUUACACUACAAGCGUCGUUAACUUAGUAUGUCCAGAUAAGAGCACAACGAACGUAGUAACUGCUUCUGGAUAUAUCGAUUAGCCAUGCGGUUUUUAGUCCAAUUUGCCGCUGUUUUUGUUGUAAUUUGUGGAUUCUAUCUGGUGAAUCCUCCUCUUGCGGAUGCUGCGUGCCAAGGAUGCCAAUCAUGUGUUCCUAAAUGUAUUGGAGAAAAAGGUGGAAGGGGAGAAAGAGGAAGACAAGGAUUUCCUGGUCCACCUGGUUUACCAGGUUUUCAAGGACCAGAAGGUCUACCCGGUCCCAGAGGUAAUAAGG